rnacentral:lncRNA from 1 species
UGCUAAUCCAGCAAGGUGUUAGCAGGGUUCUAGGAAAGACAUACGGGCAGCGGACUGGAACAGGCUAACAGGCUAACAGGCUAACGCUAACGCUACGCUAACUUGGCCCCUCCGGAUUGUGGGACAGGGAGCCCCCAUGAGCUGUUCAUGCUAACCAGGCCUGCCUGCUGGGUGCGUGGGCCAGGUUGAUCAUGUGCACCACGAUCCUGAUCAUCUCGACCCUGUCAGUCAUUCUGCGCAGACGAUUCAACAACCAAGUCAAACCCCAUCCAGACGAGCUGGGGGAGAAAGAGAUGGUGUACGUGCAGAGAGAACUGCAGCCCGUGGAGAAGUGAGGCUCCCCGCGCUGUCAGGCAUCAGUUCCAGGUACACUACUACAGUAAAGUUGGAUGUACUCCAGACCGACAUAGCCUUCUAAAACACACGCCUGUCAUCCUCUUCGGCCUCUAACGGAGUUCACCUGCAAUUUGUGGGGCAGCAGCAACCAGUGGUGACCAGGCAGUAUGGAAAGAAAAGGAACAGGUGAGAGACCAAUUAUUCUAUUCUAGUCUUGUCUGAUUUCUCUAUAUUAUUCAUCCAUAUAACCCCACUAAUAGCUACAGUUUGUAAUAACUACGAUUCAGCGGCAGUGCUAGGACAGUAAAUCCUUAAAUCGGUCUUCACAUCAAUAACGGUUCUUUCUUUUGUCAGAUCGUUUAUAAUGCAGGGAGAAAUACAGAGAUCAUCUUUCCCAUAGAUCAACGCCCUCUCUGUUACAUGGCCAGUCCAACUACACAGCUAAAUGAGGUUCAAGUUGCUUUUCAGAUAUUUGAAGUUGACUAAGUCAGAGAUGGUUUAGCCUUACAGGAUCGUGACUAGGGGCAGGAUGUACUGAAUGGCAAUGAAAGAGCCUUGCCCUAGCCAGAGGAACUCGACUCUAGCACACAGGGCAGAGUAUCAAUGUCUCGACUCAAGUUGCAAAUACAGAAACAGUGUCAGUCACCUGAGACCAAUAAGAGGGGGUGGUCUGGCCAGAAACACCCAGCUCUGUUUGGGCCAAUUCCAAACACCAGUGGACUGGGACUGUCUGGGAGUCAGAAGGGAGAGAGAGGACGCUUCUUCAGCAUGCCUGGAGCGGAGGAUAGUGCUCGCCUGCCAGGGCACUGGAGAGACGUGAGGGAGUGGAGCAUAGAGAAGAGACAGAGACACAGAAUGUGGGUCCAGGAUGUAGAAAAUGUCCUCAGUUCAAUGGCUAGGCAACUGUGUGCUUCCCUGGAUAAAUAUCCUCGCCACGAGCUUGGGGAUGGCUCAAAACACUUCUCCCCUUCCUUCCAAGACUGGUUUCCCUCCCGUCAUCCAGCCCUUACUUACAGACAGUUAUAGGUCCUCUGCACCCACAGACUGAAGAGCUAAGCCAUGGACCACAUUGCUCAGCAGCUAAAAUGGACAAUAGCAGCAUGAAGCCUUCCUCAUUGAUUGAUUUGAAAUGUUUAUUGGUGUGAAUCAUCUAGAAACCACCACAGGUAGUGCUGCCACAGAGGAGGAGUCAAAGAUCUUCAGUUAUAUACCAGAGACGCCAAAGCUCAUGAAAAUACAUUUCUAACCUUGUCCGACUCUCCCCAUUUUAGGGUAUGCAUUGAAAGCAAAGAGGAACAAAGGUGAUGCAACCAUUCCAAAGCAUGAUGUCUACUCCUCUAUGAUAAGUUGCUGUUUGACAUUCUGGAGAGGUGUAAUCAUAUAAAGACACAGAUGUCCUCCAAGAGUUACACUCUAAUAAAGGAUGAUGGAAAGUCAAACAGAGACCAGAGUUUACAGUCUGACCUUCUCUGGUCCAAGAGGCUGGAGACCACACCACCCUCCCGUCAAUUAAAUAAACAAGUGAUUUGUCUGAGCUACUCUCUGUUGUAUCUUUGUCUGAAAAUGUUGGUAGAGUUCGAAAUCUGGCAGUGGAAACAGAACACACAACAUAUCAGUAGGUGCACCUGCAGACCACUUGACUAAGUAUCCAUUUGAUAGGUUAUUGAUUCUAUUGGAGGCUCUGUGGCUUAGGAGGGAAAUGGGACUGUGUGGUUGGUAGUUGAAUGAUUUCUUGGAAGCAGAUAUGAUUUGGUGUCUAUAUAUAGGGUCUCAACAGACGGAGCAGUGCGACCUGUACUGUGUCAGCUGACUUCCUGGUCCCUAGUCUCCUCGGCCCCCAAAUGAGAUCGAAGACGCCAUGCUUCCUGGCUGAUUAAAUAAAUGAUUGAAU